rnacentral:rRNA from 1 species
AUGACCAAUAGACUAAAAGAUCACGAGACAAGUCUGGAUCAUGUUUCGAGUAUGAAUAAUUGGUAUGAGUUGCGUAGUAGAUUGGAAAAACAACAAACUAUUGAUAAAGCUGCUCAACGACAACUUGAGAAAGAGAAGGACCAUUGGAGAAAGGUAUUAUUCAGAAUUGUUUGCAUUGUAAAAUUUCUUGCAAAGCAUAAUCUAGCAUUCCGUGGUACUAAUGGGAAGCUGUAUGAAGAUAGCAAUGGUAAUUUCUUGGGUUUGGUAGAGAUGUUAGCUGAAUUUGACCCCGUUAUUCAGGAGCAUGUUCGUCGUAUUACAAAUGAAGAAACUCAUGUCAUUAUCUUGAUCAUAAGAUUUAGAAUGAAUUGCCACUUCCUUGCUUCUUCUAUUAGGUCUGAAAUUGUCAAGAAAAUAAAGAGCUCAAAGUAUUUCUCUGUCAUACUUGAUUGUACCCCCGAUGCAAGUCACCAAGAGCAAAUGUCUUUAAUUAUAAGAUAUGAGAAGGACCUAAACUUCUUGAUCUUGAUAUAA